rnacentral:tRNA from 1 species
GAGGGGUAAGGGACUGGUGUCUCACCUGGUCUGCAAAACCAGUGUUGGGGUACAAUAAUAUGCCCUGGUGAGUUCGAUUCUCACUGCCCCUCUCCA